UUAGGCGAUGGAAUGGAGCCGAUAAAAGCCUGACAGUUUCCUCAUGCAAAUUAUGUUGUAUUAAAAACUUACGCAAAAAUUAAAAACAACGCAGGCCAAAAACAGCAAGGGGAAAGUGCUCAGUGGGGAAGCGUUCUUCUCUGCAAUUAGGAAGAAAGACCUCAGCCUUUGUUGGACAGCUGCCUGGUUCCAACUGGCUAUUUUCAGCGGCAUCGUUCCUGUAGCUGUCAGUUAUUAGAAUAGCAGCAAAUGUGCGUACGCCAAGAUUUUUCACUGCUUUCACCCAUCUUCCCAAACACCCAGAAGUCACAGUGCUGGAAUUACGAUGAUACAAUCGUCCCCAUGGAAACAGAGCUGGUGUCAUAAACAGGACAUUAUGACUUCUCAGCAGGGGGCUGCAGAUGGAAUUUUGGCAUUUGACGUGUAGGAUUUAUUCAAAAACACAAAUGUCUUGGAGAGGAACAGCAAGGGAGAGGGAAGAAAGGGCAUGGGGCUCCUCUUAUAAAAUGCAUUUAAACAUUCGUACUCACCUCUGAGGAAGCCAAGGUGUAUUAAAGCUAAGAGUCUUGCUCAAGAUCAUAAACUGGGUGCCAAGCUAAGGUACGAUGCCAGAUUCUGCACAACAGACUGAUACAACAGUUGAGAUGCUAUCAGCACUCUGGAGGCUCCUGUGGGUUAAAUGGGUGAGAUCAGCAAGUGUCGUAGUUGUUGAAGACGUGAGUACCAAACGGAAUGUUUUUCUUAAUUUAAUCAUCAAGAAAGAGACAGCUCCUUCCUCCAUGACUCAACUCGUUCUCCAUGGGCCCACUUCCGGCUCCGCAGAAAGCAGGUGUACCUCCAGGGUGAGUGGAACAAAUGGAACACACAGAACACGCGUCAUGGUUCUCCAUUCUGAUGGGCCCCAGAGCAGAUGGAAGACUUCAAUGGGAAUAUUGAAGUUACCAUUUUAA
rnacentral:lncRNA from 1 species